rnacentral:tRNA from 1 species
GCCUGGCUAGCUCAGUCGGUAGAGCUUGAGACUCUUAAUCUCAGGGUCUUGGGUUCGAGCCCCACGUUGCGCG